rnacentral:rRNA from 1 species
UACGGGAGGCAGCAGUGGGGAAUAUUGCACAAUGGGCGGAAGCUGAUGCAGCAACGCCGCGUGAGGGAUGACGGCUUUCGGGUUGUAAACCUCUUUUAGCAGGGAAGAAGCGAGAGUGACGGUACCUGCAGAAAAAGCACCGGCUAACUACGUGCCAGCAGCCGCGGUAAUACGUAGGGUGCAAGCGUUAUCCGGAAUUAUUGGGCGUAAAGAGCUCGUAGGCGGUCUGUCGCGUCUGCUGUGAAAUCCCGAGGCUCAACCUCGGGCUUGCAGUGGGUACGGGCAGACUAGAGUGCGGUAGGGGAGAUUGGAAUUCCUGGUGUAGCGGUGGAAUGCGCAGAUAUCAGGAGGAACACCGAUGGCGAAGGCAGAUCUCUGGGCCGUAACUGACGCUGAGGAGCGAAAGGGUGGGGAGCAAACAGGCUUAGAUACCCUGGUAGUCCACCCCGUAAACGUUGGGAACUAGUUGUGGGGUCCUUUCCACGGAUUCCGUGACGCAGCUAACGCAUUAAGUUCCCCGCCUGGGGAGUACGGCCGCAAGGCUAAAACUCAAAGGAAUUGACGGGGACCCGCACAAGCGGCGGAGCAUGCGGAUUAAUUCGAUGCAACGCGAAGAACCUUACCAAGGCUUGACAUACGCGAGAACGCCCUAGAAAUAGGGAACUCUUUGRACACUCGUGAACAUGGUGGUGCAUGGUGUCGUCAGCUCGUGUC